rnacentral:lncRNA from 1 species
UGAUACUUCCAUAAUCGGAAAACAUGAGAAGGAAAUCUGAAGUCUUCAAGGUUAAGCUGGAAAUAAUACCACAUUGCAGAAAAGACGUUAGCAGAAGAGAAGGGGAGUAUGAAAUGAGAGGUGGAUGCUACGUAGAAACAUACUUACCUGGACGGGGUCAAUGGCUGAUCAAGAAGAGCUAUGGCCUAGAUCAGUGACCUCCAUUGCACAUACUGGAGGGGUGCUGUUCUAAGGUCUUCCCAUAGAGGAAGAGCCUACGUCAUAAUUUGUUGCUGAGGGGGCCUGCGUUCGCGCGGCCCCCACCCAAUCUCUUAGUUCUAAUAGUUUGAGUUUUUCCACUUUCAGUGCCAGCAUUUGCACAGCCCAGAAGAUUCAAAGAGGAAAUGAGAAAUAGGCAAACAGUUAGUAACGGAACAAAUGAAGUAUGUUGAUUUAUGCGUUGGAAAACCAAUCGAAACGAAGCAGAUAUAGAUGUUGCAGACUUGCAGUUAUUAUCCUUCUGCCCGAUUAGGUUUGUCUGCAAAGAUUCGUUGGAGAAACAGCUAGACUUAGAUUUUCAUGACGGAUAAUAUUCUUGUAUGUUUACCUGGCUGUUGUUGACAAUGGAGGGAAUUCUGCCGCGUAUCAUACA